AUUGAACGCUGGCGGCAGGCCUAACACAUGCAAGUCGAACGAGCGGCGGACGGGUGAGUAAUGUAUGGGGACUGCCCGAUAGAGGGGGAUAACUACUGGAAACGGUGGCUAAUACCGCAUACUAUCGGAUAACCCAUAUGGGAUUAGCUAGUAGGUGGGGUAAAGGCUCACCUAGGCGACGAUCUCUAGCUGGUCUGAGAGGAUGAUCAGCCAACCUGGGACUGGGACACGGGCCAGACUCCUACGGAGGCAGCAGUGGGGAAUAUUGCACAAUGGGCGCAAGCCUGAUGCAGCCAUGCCGCGUGUAUGAAGAAGGCCUUAGGGUUGUAAAGGACUUUCAGCGGGGAGGCGUUACCCGCAGAAGAAGCACCGGCUAACUCCGUGCCAGCAGCCGCGGUAAUUC
rnacentral:rRNA from 1 species